rnacentral:rRNA from 1 species
GACGAAGGAUCCAAGCGUUAUCCGGAUUCAUUGGGUUUAAAGGGUGCGUAGGCGGCCCGGUAAGUCAGUGGUGAAAGCCUGUUGCUUAACAACAGAACUGCCAUUGAUACUGCCAGGCUUGAGUACAGAUGCUGUGGGCGGAAUAUGACAUGUAGUGGUGAAAUACAUAGAGAUGUCAUAGAACACCGAUUGCGAAGGCAGCUCACAAAACUGUAACUGACGCUGAGGCACGAAAGUGCGGGGAUCAAACAGG